AUACGUAGGGUGCGAGCGUUGUCCGGAAUUACUGGGCGUAAAGAGCUCGUAGGUGGUUUGUCGCGUCGUCUGUGAAAUUCCGGGGCUUAACUCCGGGCGUGCAGGCGAUACGGGCAUAACUUGAGUACUGUAGGGGAGACUGGAAUUCCUGGUGUAGCGGUGAAAUGCGCAGAUAUCAGGAGGAACACCGGUGGCGAAGACGGGUCUCUGGGCAGUAACUGACGCUGAGGAGCGAAAGCAUGGGUAGCGAACAGGAUUAGAUACCCUGGUAGUCCAUGCCGUAAACGGUGGGCGCUAGGUGUAGGGGUCUUCCACGACUUCUGUGCCGUAGCUAACGCAUUAAGCGCCCCGCCUGGGGAGUACGGCCGCAAGGCUAAAACGCAAAUGAAUUGACGGGG
rnacentral:rRNA from 1 species